rnacentral:rRNA from 1 species
AGAAUCAACGCUGGCGGCGUGCCUAACACAUGCAAGUCGAACGAGAAAGUGGAGCAAUCCAUGAGUACAGUGGCGCACGGGUGAGUAACACGUGGCUAACCUACCCUUGAGUGGGGGAUAACCUAGGGAAACCUGGGCUAAUACCGCAUAAUACCUUCGGGUCAAAGGAGCAAUUCGCUUAAGGAGGGGGUCGCGGCCGAUUAGUUAGUUGGCGGGGUAAUGGCCCACCAAGACUGUGAUCGGUA